rnacentral:rRNA from 1 species
AUCCUGGCUCAGGAUGAACGCUAGCGGCAGGCCUAACACAUGCAAGUCGAACGGUAACAGGAAAGAGCUUGCUCUUUUGCUGACGAGUGGCGCACGGGUGCGUAACGCGUAUACAAUCUACCUUUUGCUGAGGGAUAGCCCAGAGAAAUUUGGAUUAAUACCUCAUGGUAUUAUUGAUAGGCAUCUAUUAAUAAUUAAAGGUUACGGCAAAAGAUGAGUAUGCGUC